GUGGGGAAUUUUGGACAAUGGGCGCAAGCCUGAUCCAGCAAUGCCGCGUGUGUGAAGAAGGCCUUCGGGUUGUAAAGCACUUUUGGCAGGAAAGAAAUAGCGCGUGCUAAUACCAUGCGCGAAUGACGGUACCUGCAGAAUAAGCACCGGCUAACUACGUGCCAGCAGCCGCGGUAAGACGUAGGGUGCAAGCGUUAAUCGGAAUUACUGGGCGUAAAGCGUGCGCAGGCGGUUUUGUAAGACAGGUGUGAAAUCCCCGGGCUCAACCUGGGAACUGCACUUGUGACUGCAAGGCUAGAGUGUGGCAGAGGGAGGUGGAAUUCCGCGUGUAGCAGUGAAAUGCGUAGAGAUGCGGAGGAACACCGAUGGCGAAGGCAGCCUCCUGGGAUAACACUGACGCUCAGGCACGAAAGCGUGGGGAGCAAACAGGAUUAGAAACCCCAGUAGUCC
rnacentral:rRNA from 1 species